rnacentral:rRNA from 1 species
AACGAACGCUGGCGGCGCGCCUAAUACAUGCAAGUCGAGCGAGAAGACGUAGCAAUACGUUUGUAAAGCGGCGAACGGGUGAGGAAUACAUGGGUAACCUACCCUCGAGUGGGGAAUAACUAGCCGAAAGGUUAGCUAAUACCGCGUACGCUCCUUGGACUUCGGUUCAGGGAGGAAAGCGAUACCGUGGGUAUCGCGCUCUUGGAUGGGCUCAUGUCCUAUCAGCUUGUUGGUGAGGAACGGCUCACCAAGGCUUCGACGGGUAGCUGGACUGAGAGAACGAUCAGCCACACUGGCACUGCGACACGGGCCAGACUCCUACGGGAGGCAGCAGUAAGGAAUAUUGCGCAAUGGGCGAAAGCCUGACGCAGCGACGCCGCGUGGGGGAGUGAAGGUCUUCGG